GAUGAAGAACGUAGCGAAACGCGAAAGGUAAUGCGAAUUGCAGAAUCAGUGAGUCAUCGAAUCUUUGAACGCACAUUGCGCCCCUUGGUAUUCCAUGGGGCAUGCCUGUUCGAGCGUCAUUUGUACCUUCAAGCUCUGCUUGGUGUUGGGUGUUUGUCUCGCCUCUGCGUGUAGACUCGCCUCAAAACAAUUGGCAGCCGGCGUAUUGAUUUCGGAGCGCAGUACAUCUCGCGCUUUGCACUCAUAACGACGACGUCCAAAAGUACAUUUUUACACUCUUGACCUCGGAUCAGGUAGGGAUACCCGCUGAACUUAAGCAUAUCAAUAAGCGGAGGA
rnacentral:misc_RNA from 1 species